AACGAACGCUGGCGGCAUGCUUAACACAUGCAAGUCGAACGGGACCUUCGGGUCUAGCGGCGGGGGGGGGGGUGACGGGGUGGAACGUGCCCUGGUCUGCGCAAGAUCGUGGGGAAACUCAGCGUAAUAGCGCAUACGACCUUGGGUGGGAAGUUUGGUUGGAAGAGGAGGGGCCUGCGGUGUAGUGGGUGGGUGGUGGGGGAAGUGCCUCCGAAUCAUACGGGCGGUAGCUGGGUUGAGAGGCUGAUCAGCCACACUGGGACUGAGACACGGCCCAGAAUCUUACGGGAGGCAGGAGUGGGGAAUCCUAGACAACGGGGGCAAGCACGAUGUCGCCAUGCCGGGUGAGUGAUGAAGGCCUUAGGGUUGUAAAGCUCUCUCAGAUGGGAAGCUAAUGACGGUACCAGCAGAAGAAGCACCGGCUAACUACGUG
rnacentral:rRNA from 1 species